AGCGAACGUUAGCGGCAGGCUUAACACAUGCAAGUCGAGCGAGAAAGGGGCUUCGGCCCUGAGUAAAGCGGCGGACGGGUGCGUAACACGUGGAUAAUCUGCCCUUCAGUGGGGAAUAACGUUCCGAAAGGAACGCUAAUGCCGCAUGUCACAGCAAUGUCUCUGGACAAAGUUGGAAAAGGGGACGCCCGCAAGGGGUUCUCGCUGGAGGAUGAGUCCGCGGCCCAUCAGCUUGUUGGCGGGGUAAUGGCCCACCAAGGCGAAGACGGGUAGCUGGUCUGAGAGGAUGAUCAGCCACACUGGAACUGAGACACGGUCCAGACUCCUACGGGAGGCAGCAGUAGGGAAUAUUGGACAAUGGGGGCAACCCUGAUCCAGCCAUGCCGCGUGAGUGAAGAAGGCCCUCGGGUUGUAAAGCUCUUUUGUCCGGAAAGAAAAGCAUCUGGUUAAUACCCGGGUGUUCUGACGGUACCGGAAGAAUAAGCACCGGCUAACUU
rnacentral:rRNA from 1 species